UUCAGGGCUAUGUCACCUUCUUUCAGAUAGACGGAAGAAGAUACUCACAAGAGGCAACAGUGUGAGGCUCUUUCAGGACUAAAAGCAUAAAAAAAUCACCUCUGGGCUUCUACCGGGGUAUUUAAUUUUUUUUAGGCAAAUCAGUAAUGCUCCGGAGCUUAAAACUGAAUCCACAGCUGGUGGAAGCCUCUUUCCUUCACUUUUGACUUUUCACCUCAACUUAACACCAUGAACAUCUCUCUUGAAAACCCUUAUGGCGACGUCGCCAUCCCCCGUGCCAAGCUGAGGGGUGACUCCAGCACCAUCAUCAUGAAUCCCAUGGCCUUAGAGAGCUCCUAUAACCGUACCUCUGCCACGAACCCUUACGGCAGCUUUAAAACGCCAGGAGAGAACAACCCCUCAAACGUGCCAGUGUACGGGGAGGCCAAGAACGGGAGCCAGAACCCUCCUCCUUACAGCACCCAGACAGGGUACACCGUGAAGGAUGAUACAGAGCAGGUGGGACGCUGCUAUGCUUGUUGCUGCCGCUGUCGAAGGAAGAAAUGAGACGUGCUUCCCGGUGCAAAGAAUUAUGGGUUUACAAAACGCAGGGAACAGGAUGAGGAGGAAUUUGUCUAGAACUCCCAAACCCUGUCAAACUGUGGAAGCUAAAAAUCACAGUGCUUAAAUGACCGGACUGCUACUGUAAGGAUUGCACAAAAAGAAUGAAACCUUUAAUGUUUUAUAUAUGUACUUUCGGAUUAAUUUGUCAAAGAUUGCUUUUGUUAAAUUGAUACAGUUCAAUUCAGCUGCAUUUCUUUGUUGAACCACCUAACAAGCCGUUCCUUUGUGCGCCGAUAUGUUUUACAAUGACACCGCUCGAUCUGAUUCAAUUUGUGCAUACCUGAGGUCGUUUUUUAUAUUACAUCUCGAUGGGCUCGUCCAAGUUUCUGUUGACCAGAGUGAUCAGGACUGUGGAACACAACCCAUAACACUGUGUGAUGCAGGAUGGUGAAACUAGAACCCUCAUUGUUUUACAAAGAACACAAAGGGACACUUUCAACUUUUCCAGAAGAAUGACUUGUGCCAUUUAAGUUUCUACGGAACAAGCUUUUCUGGUUGUUCUUAACAUACAGCUGAUACACGGCAACCUGGACCUUUAAUGCUUCGACAAAAUGAAAAACAUAAAUGCAACUUAAUUGGAUCUUUACAUAAAAGAACACAUUUGUAAUGUGGAUUGAUGAUUAAUUCACACUUAAUGAUAAGCAAUAUUUUGCAGGAUUGCUCAUAUGCAGUUUUGAGAACCUGAGAUUGAAUGAAGUGAAAUGUUUUAAACCUCUAGAUGUAAGACAUGAGUAAUGUUUGGUUUUGAAAUGAUGUAUUUUCUUUAUCACAAUGUACUUAAAUGAAGUAGUCCUACGCCUAGUUUCCAUCAAGGUGACUCAGUGACGACAAAUUAUCUCAACCUGAGUAAGUGCAGACAAGAUUUGAUACAGCAGAACCGGUUUGGGAUACAGAACUUGAAUAGCGCUCAAAGUAUUUCCUGGAAUAAUACAGAACAAGGCUCACUGAGGCUAGACCAACCGGUUUAAUGAUGUAAAGAAACUCGUGUCGCAUGGAAUCUGCAGUGCAGUCCUGCAGAACUGAGGAAAAGUAUGUGCAGAGGUUAUGCAGUAUUUACAUUAAAAACUUAUGUAAUGAAGGUUUCUUCUGGUGUCACUUUGUUUGCUUGGAAAUAAAAGCAAAGGAAGAGAGUUCUCACAUCAGGUUAAAACAAGUAAUGUAUUAUUGGUUUUCACGAAAAAGAUAACCAAAUUCAGUGUAAAAUAAUAACUGUUGAAGUUAUAAAUGAAAUGGAUUGAAUAAUAAAAUUAUGAAAAAUUGGUC